GCGGCGGCACAGAGCCGGUGGUGGAGCCGCCGAGGCCACCUCGUGUAUGCAGAGACCAUGUGUGUCUGAUCUGCUGGGAUCCUAGAGCUGGAACAGCACCCCGAGCAGAAGGCAGACCGGUAUUUUGUGUUAUACAAACCGCCCCCUAAAGACAACAUUCCCGCCCUAGUGGAGGAGUACCUGGAACGCGCCACCUUCGUAGCCAAUGACCUCGACUGGCUCCUGGCCUUGCCUCACGAUAAAUUCUGGUGCCAGGUGAUCUUUGACGAGACUCUACAGAAGUGCCUGGACUCCUACCUGCGCUAUGUCCCCCGCAAAUUCGACGAGGGGGUGGCCUCAGCCCCUGAGGUUGUUGACAUGCAGAAGCGCCUCCAUCGAAGUGUUUUUCUCACCUUCCUCCGCAUGUCCACUCACAAGGAAUCCAAAGAUCACUUCAUUUCCCCUUCUGCGUUUGGAGAAAUCCUCUACAAUAACUUCCUCUUUGACAUUCCAAAGAUCCUGGACCUCUGCGUGCUCUUUGGAAAAGGCAACUCACCACU
rnacentral:lncRNA from 10 species